rnacentral:rRNA from 1 species
GACGAACGCUGGCGGCGUGCUUAACACAUGCAAGUCGAACGGAAAGGCCCUGCUUUUGUGGGGUGCUCGAGUGGCGAACGGGUGAGUAACACGUGAGUAACCUGCCCUUGACUUUGGGAUAACUUCAGGAAACUGGGGCUAAUACCGGAUAGGAGCUCCUGCUGCAUGGUGGGGGUUGGAAAGUUUCGGCGGUUGGGGAUGGACUCGCGGCUUAUCAGCUUGUUGGUGGGGUAGUGGCUUACCAAGGCUUUGACGGGUAGCCGGCCUGAGAGGGUGACCGGCCAAAUUGGGACUGAGAUACGGCCCAGACUCCUAGGGGAGGCAGCAGUGGGGAAUAUUGCACAAUGGGCGGAAGCCUGAUGCAGCAACGCCGCGUGCGGGAUGACGGCCUUCGGGUUGUAAACCGCUUUCGCCUGUGACGAAGCGUGAGUGACGGUAAUGGGUAAAGAAGCACCGGCUAACUACGUG